rnacentral:lncRNA from 1 species
CGGAGUCCGGCCGCAGCUCUGCGCGCCGCUCCGCGCGUCUCGGAACUCCUCCCCGCGGCCCGAGGGGCGCCGCCGCUCUCCGCGGUGGCCGUUGGCUCCGCCCCAAGGCGGUACCCGCGCUCGGGGACCGCCCUCCUUCCCGCGGGUGGCCGCGGCGCUGCGCCGUGAGGUGCGGCCGUGGGGAGCUGCGCUCCCUCGGAGGCCUGAGGUGAGAGGGAAGGCCCGGCGCGCGACUGCAGACCGCGCCGUGCAGGAGCGAGGUGGAGCCGCGGCCGUAGCGUUAAAAGGUUGAGGCGUCUGAGUUUUACCGAGCGUCACAGCAGCUGAGAGGGAAACGGCACUCUGCUCGGAAAAGGUGACGGGAUCCCGGCCUGAGCGUGAAAAGGUGCAGGAGGAAAAUGAGGCGUUCCUCCCGCUAGCACGGGGCGAGUCUGCGCGUACGCGGGGCUGUGGUUGGCAGCUCCGGUUCUAUUCUGCGCUUUUUAGCGGAGAUCAAGGGCUGAGCUGCCGCGUGUAGAACAGCCCGAGGCUGAGGUGUGUGUUUGUUUGCUGGCUGCCGGCUCUGGUGCCGCGGAGCUCGCCAGGAGGCUGCGGCUGGCUGAGGCCUCCAAGCCCGAUUUGGUUCCUGGCUCUCACGAGAUUUGGUGCCUUCAUUCAACAGAACAUGCACGUACAUGAAGGAGUUUUAAAAUUUCAUACCGUUUUAAACACUCUGCUGUACUUCAUUGCAGACUUGGACAUUUCAAACGUGGCUUGUUUGAAUUAGGUGGGUUGGAAGGGAGAUUAAUUGUUUUGCCUUUUAAACUAGGGUGCAUAACUUGCACGUUCCUCUAAAUUAGAGUUACUUAAUCAGAUUUUAACCAAAUUCAGAAACAAACUAAAACCAGCAAUGACCUGGAAGCAACAAUGUGCUGCAUGAAUGUCUCAUUAAAACCUGUGGUUGACUCCAGAUUCAAUUCUGUCAGCCUCUGAAUAAAACAGUUCAGAUGUGAGUCUGCUGUUAGAACUGGCAGUGCAAGCAACUACUAAUAUGUACGCACCAUGAUGUGUGCCAUUUAAUAAAUCAGGAUUACAAAGCAAGGUGAAAUUAAAUAGAAGUAAUCUAUUUCUAAACUUUCCCUUUUCUAGCAGUAAUAUCUGGCACAGGGGCUAUGAUAUUAAUCAUAUUAAUAGAGAAAUGAUACUCUAAACUCAGGGCAAAUUAUUACAUAUGACCAAACAGCUGUUGUCAUUAAUGAAGGUGGCAGAACAAGUAUCAGUGAUAUGUGUUACAGGGAGGCAGGAAGACACACACCUUAAAAACCCUCUGCAGUUCCUUUAGUUCAAGGAACUUUUUCCCCAAAAAGACACUUUUCCCACAGUCAGAAAUUUGUAGUUACUAAUGAGCUACAUUUGCAAACUGAUUCUUAUUGUUUGAGUUUCAGCACAAACCAAGGGUUCAACUGAACCCGUGGCUGUCUGUCUUUUGCAUUCAGUUUUAAGGACAAAUCAAGGAGGCUUCACCAGGCCAUCACAAUGGCCAUGCCUACAUCAUUCAUCAAAAUGACUAAAUGUUUGGUUUUUCCCCAUUAAAAUCCAUAUUGUUUAAUGUUUUGUGAGUAAGAAGUUAGUCUAGAGAGUUCUAGGAAAACUAAGAAUUAAACAACAAAAAGAUAUGCACCUAUAUAUUCAUUGGUGUACACAAAAUCAAAAGUAAUGGGGGAAACCAAUGCAUUUAAAUUCUAGUGAAGAAUUUUGAGUGAGAUUGAUACUGAAGAUGAGCUGUCAGAUAAUUACGCCAAAGAAAUUAGGUUAUGUCUUUUUUUCCCCCUUUGAAUACAGUGAAAAAUAAGAAUAUUUGCUGUUUUCAUCUUACUGAAGUUGGUGUCCGUUCACAAAGAAGAUAUUUAUUUUCUGUUUUCCUCAGAACAAGCACAAGCAACCCCCUUGCUAUGGAGAGAUGAAGUUGGCAAAGUUCAGUCUGCCUCUUCACCUUUUUGUUUUAUGUUUAAGUUAGCCAAAUAAUUCAUAGUGCUGCAAAAUCAGAGAAAAAAAGAUUGUGAUUUCAGGUGACAGCAGCAUUUAUCCAUGUUUCUGUCUUGUGUAAAAAAUAGAAAUUAUGUAAUUUGUUCAAAAAUGCUUUACCUAUUUACAGAUAAUACAUUAUAUAUUGAAACAAGCACGUUCUUAUGCAAGAGGUGCAAAAUCUCCAUUGUUGUAUUCAGCUUAGAUUAUUCUAUUUAUUUCAACUUGUGCAAGCACUAAAGCAUCAGUAAUUAAUAUAUUAGAAUGGUACAGAUGUGGUUGAUACUGUGCAGUUACUGAGUUUUACGUGGUAAGCAAUACUGUGUAGUGCUGGAAACCUGAUGAAAGGAAGUAUCAGGAAAAAAGUAUAAAAAUGUUCAUAUUAAGUGCAAUUGAUGCUCAUUUCCUGAAGGUGCUUGGACACUAGCCAAUGCAUGGAAAGGAAGAUGCAUUUAAAGAAUCAAAUAACUUCUUGAAAAUGGUAUCUCCCAUACAAUCUCAGUGGAAAUUGUCCAACGCAUCACAACAGCUCUUGACUUUGAGCACCACCUCUCUUGUCUUGAGCACAAAUAUUUGUUACGCUUCCUUCUCGCUGCAGGGAAGUUCAGUUACAGAACUUGACAUUUGCCUCCAAGAGUAACAAUGAACUCAGUGUUCCUCUACUUGCAACAGAAGUAAGCACAGUGAACGGAGGUGGAGUAAUUUUAACUAGUAGAGUAAAGCUGUUUGAGAGACCUCACUUUCAUUCUAUUGCAGCUCUGUUUUGUUGCAAUAAACUACUAGUUAUGAAAAACAGGCAAAUAAUAGGGUAUCAGUUCUUUAAAAACCAAAUAUUGCUCAAAUGUAAAUAUUUGUGACGUAUGACAAGUAUUCAUUUCAUUGUGGAAUUGAAAGCUGUAUUUUAGGGAAGGAUAGUGUUUAAAGAAACAGAAAUGAUGUAUGCUUUUGGUUCUAUAACAUAUUACAUAAAGGAUUUCUUCUAGAAGUGUAGAUACUGUUCAGUUUUGUUAAUGGGAGAAUGUUCAUUAAAGCACACAAUAAACAUAUCCUGUAAUUAAUGUAAUUAGCACAGAAUUAUCAAAUUAACAUCAAUAAUAUUGUUUUUACGCAUUUCAAAGCCCUGUCAAGUACACACCGUGCUGGCGAAGUCCCGUGUCACUGUUUGGGGUGUAGCUGUAAAAGUCUUAAUGCAGUGUGACACCUCAGUCAUUUGCAUUUUCCAAAAGCUUCCCAGCAGUUCUUUCCUAAGCAUAUCAGAAAGAGAGGUUUCAUUCUCAGUGUUGUAGAAAGCAAGGCCAUAUGUGAGUUUGAUAAUUUCACUGUUGCAAAUGCUAUAACCAGUGCAAGUGGCUGACUGGCUAUAAGUCAGAACUUGCUACUGUUGUUUAUAGGAACACGCUGUCUUGACAUGCCUGUAUUCAGCAGGUCUUCUGAUCUGUUUUUCUGAUAUGUAAGUAUUUGGUAACUACAUCAAGGAAUCACACACAUCCUGGGGAGGAAUUUCACUCAGUAGAAUCCCAUUUGCAGUAGUAGUGUAAAUUUUAGCAAAUAAUUUAAAAAGAGAGUUGGUGUAUAUAUUCAGGUAAUGCUUUUUUUUCGUCAUCCCUGUCUGCAGGCAGUGUGAUGCUCAUUUGUGGCAUCCUUCUCUAGAAAGCACUUGAAGCUUCUAUCUUCUAAACACAAGGAACUGAAGGACUUUGAAUUGUGGCCAAACUUGUGCAGCCUUAGAGACAAGCUUUUAUUCACGAGUUACCUUGCCAACCACAAGUAGCACCUUCUCAGAUGAAGUGUGUCAUACCUUCAUGCCACUUUACAGAAGUGAGUUAUACUUACCAUAAAAAUGUAAUUUUCUUUAUUUUUUUAAUCACUGUCUUGAAUCUGUUCAGACUUCUUUGGAUACCACUGUAGAACAUGUUGGAAAUAUACCUUCAUGGAAGUACAGGAAACAAUAUGUUUGUGCCCAUAAAACACAUUUCUGUGCAUGGGAUAAAGAGAGAUGUAUUUCGGAGUUUCUGUAAAUCUGCUUUUACCCAGGAGAACCAAUGAACCACUUCUUUUUUUUUUUUCUUUUCCUGCUCAGGUUCCAACUAGUACACAGUGUAUGAGUUUGUUGUCUCACAAUUAGCACUUACUGAAUGAUUAGCCUGUAAGGAUUUUAAUUAUGUGCUAUUAGGAUCCAUUUAGUGAGAAGAGCAUUUUAUAAUGCUUCUUCAUUGCUGCAGGUAUUUUUGUGAGAAAGUAAUUCCAGUUUUUCCAGCAUGUAUAUGGAGCAUACAUAGUCCACAAAGGAAGCCAAGUGAAGCCUGGGAGGCUGUGGCUGCAGAAGUUGCUUGUAGGGAAUUUUGAUCGUGUCCAAACAAGAGGGAAGUUUUCUAUUAACACUGUGGAGGUGCUUGCCUUAUUUUCACUGUCCAAAGAGAUUAGUUCUCAUUUCUUUGGGUAGGUCUUUAACUGGGAGAUACAUUAGCAAAUACCUAUUAUCUCUGCACUUCAAUCAUUUUAGGCAGUUUAUUUCCCAAAGGUUUGAGCUGAUAAUAGAUUCUGUAUUUCCACAGGGGGCUCCAGAAUCUCUAUUCAAUCUUCCUGCCAAUGACAACAAACAAACAAAGAAAAGCCCUUGAUGGUAAUACUUAUUGUCUCCUUUACUGAUAUCCAGUAAAGGGACUAGGUAGAAGGAAUAUUAUUUGUCAGCAUGAUGUCAGUUUAGCAGGCCUUGCAAAAAUGUUCUGUCCUUUCUUUAGAAAUACAGGAAAAGCCCUGCUGAAACUACAGAAUAAAUUCUUUCCCUUUUCAGAAAGCAUCUUCUGCUCCAUAUCACGUAGUCCGCAGGACUCCCAGCAUUACCUUACUUCAAAAUUUGGUCAUUUUUGUGAAUAUCAAAGAUGAUGGAGCUGAUGGUAAAUUCAUACUUUAAAGUGGCUGCUCCUGUUGUUUAACUGAGUUGCAAGUGCAAUGUGUUUGAAUUGCAGAAAUAGGAGAGCUAAGUGUGGUUUCUUAAUAGGCUACAGUUUAUGAAAGAUCCUGAACUCCUUGUCAAUUGCUUCCCUUGGUCUUUGAGAAUUAGAAUUUGCUGAAAUUUCUGGUAGUGCACCCAAGCAUUUGACGAGAGGAUAUCUGCUGUGGGGAUGUGUGGUGUUCAGUCUUGGAGCACUGGCAGCCAGCUGCUUAUGGCUAAUUAAGUGAGAGAAUUUCUCACACAGAGUUGAUUUAAUUUCUGUUAGAAUGCCCAGAGCACCAAAUGCAUGUCUGGUCACUGCGAAAACAUCCUUAAUACACAUUGAAAGAAUUAAUGCAAUUAAUUCACCACCACCAGAGGAAAAACCUUGGGAUUUGUUUGUGCAAAUUGAAAACUGAAAAUGAAUUUGCAAAACUAACUGUAUGAUAUUCUCACUUUUUACAUCAUGUGAGUUCUGUUUGUCAUGUAAAGCUCUGUCCUGAGAAGCAAGAAGCACGUACUAUGUUAACUAGGAGAGAUGAUGGGUCUCCUAAUUCCCUGUUGGAGACUGGAGAGUCCAUGACCUGUUUGUCCCAGGCAGUAAUGAAGACCUUUUCCCCAGGGGUUCAGAUAUCUCUUGGCCAUUUUAUUUUGCUUAAGCAUUUUUAUUUGUUAUAAUGAGAACUUGGGAAAAGAACAGUUCAAAAUGUAAAAAUAGCAAAAUGUGCGGAGGCUGCCGUUCAUUUUGUAAGUCAAAGCUUGUGACUAAAGUAUGCUGCUUAGCAACAAAUGGGGGAAAUCUGAAGGUGAUCACAUCAUUUUGCUCUCCCUGAAAAGUAAUUAUUCAUGUUCCUCCUACCUUUUAAGCACCAUCCUUUUCAUGUCCCUUUUCUGCUUGGGAUGAGCGCUAUGUGGCUGGUUGAGUUGUGCAACCUAGUUUUAUCAUCAGCAAUACUUGUGCUGCUGCAGCUGUGAUUCAGCUGGAGAGCUCCAGCUCAGAUUUCAGCUCUCUCUCUCCCAUAAUGCUGCACAUAAUGUGUACUUGUCCUUAUGGACCAAGACAUAAAUGUAUGUGGAACUGUUGGGGGGAGUCCAGAAGAGGGUCAUGAAGAUGAUCAGAGGGCUGGAGCACCUCUCCUAUGCAGAUAGGCUGAAAGAACUGGGCUUAAAGGAGGGGAAUCAACUUUUUUUACAUGGGUAGAUAGUGGUAGACAAGGGGGAAUACUUUAAACUUAAGGAGGAAAGAUUUAGAUUGAAUGUUGGGGGAAUUUUUUUUACUGAGAGUGGUCAGGUGCUGGAACAGGCUGCCCAGAGAGGUUGUGGAUGCUCCGUCCCUGGAGGUGUUCAAGGCCAGGUUAGGUGGGGCCCUGGGCAGCCUGGUCUGGUGCUUGAUCUAGUGGCUGGCAGCCUGCCUGUGGCAGGGGGAUUGUAACCUGAUGAUCCUUGGGGUCCUUUCCAACCCAAGCCAUUCUGUGAUUCUGUAUGUGGCCAUUCAUUAAGCUCGUACAUCAGUCUCAAUGAGCGCUGUUCACCAACUCUUGCCUUAACUCCCCUUCUGUGACUUCUUACACCCUGAUUUCUGAGUUUGACUUUUCACGUCUUUUUGUAUGACUUCAAAGAGCACAAGGUUGCUUUUCUUUCUAGGCUUGAUUUUUCUUUAGGAAAUUACUUGUACUCCAGGUUGAAAACAACAUUUUUCAUAAAUAUUACUUAUUAACUAUUCUUGGUUUGGGGCAGUUAGUAAGCUGUAAAGUUUCUGUUCAUUUCCUUUGAAAAAAAUGUGAUGAUUGUCUUCCCUAACUGACUGAGAGUACUCCCCCCCAGUCUGGUUAGAAUCCUCACAUUCUGGGUUUGGAUUAAAGCUUUUAACAAUUUUUAUCCUCAGUAAACAAACACCCCAGAAAUCCACCUAUGUGCAGAAUGUGUUCAACAGUUCUUGAAAUAGUGUUCUGUUUCUGAGCUUGCAUUUGGAUAAAAGGCUGUGCAUCUUCAGACUAUGAAACCAUUUCAGAAAACAAAACAAUCAAACAAAAACAAAAAACAAACAAACAAAAACAAACAAAAUCCCACCCAAAACACUAGGGAGGGGAGGUAGCUCUCAGUUUUAGAAACAAUUCUCGUUGACUGCUCUGGCAAUGAUCUUCAGAAUUACCUCAUUAUUUAUUCUUAGUGCACCAAUUAAACAAACGGUUUUAUAUAUAGAAACAGGAUGGACUUAGCUUUUUCAGGGUCCUUUUCAGAGACAGACAUCAAAGAUGUACAGGAUCUAUUUGCUCACACGUGAUGUUUAAGCCACCUGAAAUAUGGCAGGAAUCCCUAAGAAGCCAAUGGGGCUGAGAAAGAAAAAAUAAUCCCAGUUUUUUGUUUGUAACACAUUGUGGAAAAGAUUAAGAUUGCAAUUAUUUGUUCAAAUGUUCAUGUGAAGGAAAUAUUAGUGAAAAAAAAAAAUCCUGAUUAUGAUCCGUCAGCGGGUGAUGUGCAAUAUAAUGCUUUUGGUUAUAUGAAGUAUGAUCAAGGCAGCAGUUGAAAUAUCUUUGCCGUCUGAAAAGACUUUUUUUAUAGAUUAGCACUUGACACACUGAGGUGUGCAGUAGAACAGUCCUCAGAAGUUUCUAGCUGUUUUUUUUAAUUUGGACAGGCAGGACUCUUGGAGGAUGUCUAGAUUUCUGUUGUUGUGGUAGAGCUGAAGGUGAUCUGAAUGUGUCCAUUCUGUAAGAGGAAUCUCUCUCAUCUUAGACUUCCAGGCUUCAAGCCUUAAUAAUAGAGUGCAACACUGUCAGUUACUAAAACAAAAAAAAGUGGAUUGAUACACUUCUGAAUGCAUCUGUAAAAAAAAAAAAAAAAAAAAGUACGUGUUGGCAGUUAGAAUCAGGUCAUAGUUUAAUACAUGUAUACAGUGAUUGCUAUGUUUUUUUCUGAUUCUUUUUUCCAACUUUUAAUUUUCACUGAUUUUAAAGAUGAAGCAGGGAGUAAGUUUACCUUAGCAAGAAGAAGAGCGAGGUAGAGGGGUUUGAUUGUUAAAGAAGACUUGAGUGGAUGUUGGAAGUGUAAUAUGUGUUAAUAGUCUUUGUUGGUUUUGGUCUUCUCAGUCCUGAUAUGUAACAAUGCAUGGAAUAUGAGUUAUUUUAGGCUCUAAAAAUUUGACAGUUGUAUUACUCUGGUGCAAUAAAAGGAUAUGAGACAUAAAUGUCACAAGAAACUUUGUGAAUUCUGCUAUCUAUGCUUAAGAUUCCAAGAAUUUUGUUGUGUGCAAAAAAUGCUCUGAAAAUUUCAUUAUUUCCUAUACCACCAACUAAUUAUCUAUAUUUAGUCUGGUGUUAAUCUGCUUCCAAAAACAUAAUACUCAAAAGGGAAAAAAAAGUUUAUUAGCAAGAACUGCCAAUGGGCUGCUGCUCUGUGUUUUCUCUAAAUGUCAGUUUUCCAACUAAGUCACACCUUGAGUCUGAGACCAACGUGAAAAUAAAGUACAUGUUGCAGAUCUAAGUCCCUGGCUAUUGAGUACUGGACAAGGAUCCAGUGCAGUCAGUCUUGAGAAGAGCUCCACGUUAAUUCUGCAGAGUAGAUGCUACAGACUGCAGUAAUACUGAAGCAGCAUUCCUGAGGACAGACAACUGGAGAACCCAGACAGACAUCAAGUUAGGAAAAGAGAAGGAAAAUAAAAGAAAACAAACAUAGGAAAGAUGUAUGAAAGAUGAAAGUUUAAGAGAGAAUCUGAAAAUAAUGCAAACAUAGCAGUCAUGGGAACUAAGUUUCAAAGAAGCCAUAAGAUGUUACUUAAACUAAUUUCAAACGAUGCUGUGGGCAUGCAACAUGGACCUAAAGUGCAGCUGUGCAGUCCUGGCGCUGCCAGCCCCUGGAGAAGAGGAGGCUGGGGGAUCUCAUCAUAUUUGAAAAAUCGUGGCUGUUGGAUGAAGUCCCUGGUGAGUGAAAAAGGGAAACAUUCCUCCCACUUUUAAGAAAGGGAAAAAGGAAGACCCGGGGAAUUACAGGCUGGUGAGCCUCACCUCUGUGCCUGGGAAGAUCAUGGAGCAGAUCCUUCUAGAAGCUUUGUUAAGGCUCAUGGUACAUAUGGUAGCAUCCAGCUUAUGGAGCUUGAAAUAAAAAUUGUCAAUUGGGAAGCCAACACAGUUCUGUAGCAAUUCUCAGUAUUUCUUUAUGCUGUUUGGCACAGAAAUUAUGUAUUUGUUUAAUAGCUUUUUUUUGGCACACACUUGCUUUUGGAUUCUGUUCUCCAGUCACAGAAGUGGAAUUCGAGAUGACUAAAAGAAAAGUCAAGAGAAAUAUUUUUUGAAAAUUAUUUGUGGUUAUAUUAUCACUGAGAAUGAGGAAGGCUCAGUCACAAAGCCCUCACAUUCAAGCUUUUGUACUUCUUUUAGGAGUCGCUGUUCUACAGUACGGCCGUAUGUUGUACAAGCAGCAUGGGUUUCUCUGCAGCUGGCUUGUGUUCAAGUUUUGCAAGCAUACAUUUGAAAGCAGUUAAUAUCGCUGGCACUAGAAAUGCCUGACUGCAACAUGCUUAUACAGAAAAAAUAAUUUUGAAGAUUUUGUUUGUUCUGGAAGGAACCACUCUGACAACAGGGGCAAGUAAAAAACAACGGUGGCCUUUGUAGCUAAAAAUUGCAACUGCUACCACUACUCGGAACAGUAUCCAGAUAAUUUAGAUACAGGAACUACAAUGUAACCUAUCUUGUGCAAAGUAACCUUUGCCAAUACAAGCUGCCUUUGUUUCAAAGAGAUUCUGGCUUUGUUGUUACGAGAGGAAACGUCAAGCAAGCAAAGCCUGGGACAAAGUGUAGAAACAAGCAAUUUGGUAACUUAACAUCCUCAUCGAAAAAGCAUAUAAAACCUAUCAAUUUUACAUAUUGACUUUUAAUUUUAAAUAAACAAGCACAAAGUUAAGAGUCAAGAAAUGACAAGAUACCCAAAAUUCAUCGCUUUUGGUGAAAGAAUGCUAAAGAACACCAUAAGGUCAGAGAAUGCAUCCAAAGGAUUUUCAUCAUUUUUCCAUGGUUUUUUUUGUUUUUCUUUGGCUGCUUGUAGGUGAAGUAUGACUCCUUGGCUUCGUUAUUUCAACUUUAGGUGGUUUCAUGACAUGAGACAUCUCCCACCUUUCUUACCAGUUGGUUACUACUGCUUCAGAAGGACAAACCACUAAUGUGCCCUCAGAGAUUAUUAUAACCUAGACUGUAACCAAACCUCAUAAAGAUAUCCAGACAAAAGGAGCAAUACCAUACAACAAUAACUGCAGCAUAUAUUAAAGAAAAAAACUGCAAUAGAAAAUAGUUACAAAAAUUCCACUCAAACAAUAUCUAUUAAAUAAUAUGCAGUGCAAUCAAAUAAUAUAUGUAUAUGACUUUGAUCUAGCAUAUAAUUAAUGCAGCAAAGGCUUUACAACAUCUUCACAUAGCCUUUAUUUUCACCUUACACAAACCUAAGGAAAAAAAGUACUGACAAAGCUGCUGUGCAAUACUGGGUGUCAGUCCUGCCAAUCUGAAAAACAGCAAAAAACCCCAUUUGUUUAACAUCUUAAUGAUGCAAAUGCACAAACAAUACAUGUUUUCAAAGGUUGUUCAACUCCCCUUUUUUUGAGCCAAGUUCCUUAAGACACACAUUCAGGACAAUUAUAUUUUUAGUUCAGUUUUCUGGUAUCCUAGCACCACUGUUCAGGCAUUCUCUAUGCAGAACAUUUCUGGCCUUAUUGCUCUGAAUAAGCAAAUGCCUUGUGGAAGGACUUAUAUACUAAAUGGAAAAAAAGCAGCAUGUACAGCAAUAGAAACCCUAAUCUUAGCUACACACCAAAAAAAUGUUCUGAUCUCAAUACAGGGAAAGCAGAAGCAAGAGGUAUGUACAGUUAGAAUAAUUUAUUUUUUAAAUUAAUGAAUUCUAAUUUUGUUAUGAAUCAUCUUAUUGGUGAAAUGCGCAUCUGCAGAAAAAAAGUUCAUUUUCAAAAUCUCACAGCUCAGACUGUAAAUUAACAAGUUUGUAAUUGACACUUCAGAUGCACAGCAAACAUUAAAUCUGAAAUUGCACAUCAGGUCUUCACUGAGCUUGAACAGAAAACUAAUAAUUUACUUAAUUGUGAGAGCGUAUAGAUCUGUCAUUAAAAUUUUAAAAUAUACAUAUGCAAGUCUUUACAGAUAAUUAAGAGUUUGUAAACAGCUAAUGUGAUUACAUUAGCAUGUAAUGACAGAUUGGUAAUGAUCAAUCUUUUUGGCAAUUGCAGUUUGCUGCAUUGCUGUCACAUCAAAGCUAAGUGCAUAAUAUGUGCUUUUUAGCAAUGUAAACAUUCACGAACUAUCAAAAUAAUCCCAUUUCCUCUCUGCUUUAUGCUGCACCAAAUGCUAAGAUAUCUUCCAGGUGACACCAGCUUUACUGAAUUCACUGACAGAUGCUCUACUUAAGACAUAAAAAUGCAAGUGAAUAGGAUAUGAAAAGAAGACAACAUUGGCAGAACUGUUAAUUCUUUUGGAAAACCUUACCCAGAAAGCCAUUGCAUUAUAUGAGAGGAGAUGUGCUGUCAUAAAAGAAUAGUCCCAAUGGUAUACCUAUAUUUUACUUUAAAGGAAAUGAGGUGAAAGAGCUUUUAGCUUUAACAAGACAUAUCUUUCAAAAGGAAACAUCUCUUUCAGUAAGACUUAGCACUUAACUUUAAUGGGCUUGAUGAAGAAUUUAGUUCAUUCAGUGUUAUUAUAAAAUGUUAAAGUGCUGUAGAAAUAACAAUCAUUUGCAUUUCUGUAUUAAAAAUUUUCCUCAUGAAACCAGCCUUCAGUAAUAACUAGCUCAGAUACUAAACCUGAUGGGACAGCACUUGCAGAGAACAGCUGCUUAUUUUAGAGGGUAUUUCUAAAAAUAUUUCAUGUAUCCUGCCACAGUACCGUGCAGGAAAAGCUUAUCUACAACAUAUGCUGGUCAGUCCCAUUAGUCAUCUUUUAUUUUUUUCUUUAGAUAGCGCCUCCUUGUAGGUCAUGUGAAUGAAGUCAAAGAGUUGUGUGGCAUUGGCGGCAUUACCCAAAAUUUCACAGAGUUUGUCCUUUGACAGUGUCACCAGCUCAGCAAUGCUUUUCACGUGGUUCAUUAAGGCAUGGCAGUUUUUUGCAUUAACACCUGGCAUUUUUAAUAGAAAGUCCUGAGGACCAGGGUUAUACUUGUCUGACUCAGGAAGAGUUUCAGAAUCUGCUGUGACUGCCAUUGCAGUUUCUGCGUCAGGCUGUGGACGGUUUUGUUUUAACUCUUCAAACAGUUCAGCAGUAGCAUGGGGUGAGGGACACCACAGGAUACGUAACUUAGGGAAGUGGAGUGUGAGAAGGGUCAGUUUAGAAGUAACAUCACUACUGGAAAUCUCCUGACGUAGGGAGCCUUGUGGAAUCAAGGAGAAAGGUUUGUUAGGAUCAAAUUCAAUCAGAAGAAUUGGUCGCUUAUAGUAACGUGACAUAGAAAUGCAUUGCGUAUACAAUCUUCCAUUAUUUAAGGAACCGAUAAGAUCGCUGAUACUUUUUCGCUCUACACAGAUAUCAGGAGUUAAAAUGUAAUCUCCAACUUCCAAAGUAACAGGCUCAAUGUCAAUACCACGACGAUGAAUCAGUGAUGGAAGCUCACUACGAAAUUCCCGCAUGUCCACUAUUAUAGUCUGUUGAGCAGUCUUCUGUGCCUGUCCACCUAAAGGGCAAAACAAAUAGAGUUAACCUGUCCUCAUGACCUUUGACUAUACCUUCCCUGAAGCACACUGCAUAAUGGAAGCACUGUUUUUAUUUCUCUCCACCUCGCUACAGGCAGUGUUAGUCUCAUAAUCAACCAGCUGUCCAGAAAUAGUCCAAAUGUUAUCUCAUCUUAAUGGUAAAAUACUAAUUAAGCAAUAGUUUCUUUUCAAUGAAUUAUAUUUUUCUUUGUUAUUUCACAGACAAGGAAGUGAGAGAUGGACUAAGGCAGAUACUAUUUGAUCCCCAUCAGGAAUGCAGAAUCAGUGUGCCUCCAUCACCCACCCACAUGUUUUGGACGACAUUCAACCACAGCAGGUUACAGGCCUUUUUCACAGCUCGGAGCUGCAAGCUUAACUUCAGAACUGCUUACCUGCUUUGCGUGUGUCAGUGGAAACAGAGGCAGGCUUAACAUCUCUUAUUAGGUCUAGGGCCGUGAGGUAGCGCUGUUCUUCUGUUGAGCUUCCAUAGAUGAGGAAAUAAACCCUACAGGUUUGGAGGAAAAAAAAGAAAAAGUUGACAGAUAUUUAAGAUUAGAAGCACUAACUGCCUGAAAAAUUUCUAUCUCAUUUUCCGUCUUUUACCAACGUCAUAUACUCUUACUGAAACUUUGGGAUUCAACGAGAGUGGAUUGCCAGAAGUGGGCAAUAGAUUUUAUUGUUCUUUCAAGAUAAAAAUUUAACCAACUGCAUGCUUGAUUAGCACCAAGUCAACUUGCCUCAGAGGCUUCCCAGGUCUGCCUGCCUUGUAGAUUUCCAGCUGCCGAACAAAAGUUAGUUCUGCAUCAUACAGUACAACAUAUCUUGGCUCUACUUCAUGCAGCACCCGAGUAAGAGCGUAGGGAUCACUGCAACCGUACAGUGGAUGAAUAAUUGUGAGCGGGUUUUUGAAAAUACCAUAGUAGGAAUCUGAGGGUAAUUUCACAGGGAAAUCUUCAGGAAAGGUCUCUUCAAUACUGCCUUCUUGGCUUCCAUUUAAUUCUUUGUUAUCUUCCACAUCCAACUCCUCUCUGUUUUCCUCCUUAGUUUUCCCUAUCAUUUGGACUACAGUUUGGUCAUGCUGCUUCUUGUGUUUGUUUUGUUUUGAACCAGUAGAGAGUUUGGCUUUUUUGGCUUGAGGUCCUGUGUCUGGUCUGGCAUUUCCUUUGGACUUGACCACUUUUCUGUCCUUUAUCCACACUUCUCCAGCUUUCUCAUCCUUUCCAAGUGUUUUAUUAUACAGUCUCAUUAAAAAGGCUUCUGCUCCAUCAGUAAUAUACUCCCUGAGCUGUGCACAAGCUCGGUCAUCACUGGCACAAAUAAGAACUUGUCCUGCAGUCAAGAAACAACAUAAUGUUUGUAAUCUGUUACACUAUAAUUCCUUUUAUCCAGCCACAAGACAUCUUGAUCAUAUAAACUGUUAUUAAUGAUCCUAGAAGCAUGCCUGCCAAAUGCCUUUACAGUUGGUGGUCACAGUUGCUGUGGACUUACAGGAAGUUUGAAUUACACCACAUUUUAUACCAAACAAGAUCAGAGGUUAAUGGAAGUUCAGCAUUCCUUAUUCUCACACCAUCUAAAUCAGUUUUUUUCUUUUAAUCAUUUGAAAGAACGCAAAUAUAGUAUAUACUGAAGCAGACAACUUUUUUAUACAUAUAUAUAUAAAAAAUCUUUUUUAUGCAGAAUAAGAGUACUUAAUUGGGACUGUUCUAGUUUUCGGCCUCUGUCAUCUGUGUCAGGGAUUCUAAAAAAUGCAUGUUUCACACAGUAUUAUUGACAGUUGUGGGCCCUAAAUAACAAUUCUCUGCUAGCUGACUCAGAUAAACUCCUACAGCACUAGGCAAGAGAGCUGGUUCUUAUCCACAAUCAGAACACUGUGGGUGGGAGAAAAGAGCACUUUUUUACCCUCACAAUUUCCUAAAAUAAAGCUUCCUAUAACAGGAAAAGCAGAAAAGGAGUUAGAAACACACUGGGUAAGAGAUAACAGGAAGACAUCUAUGAAAAUGUUAUAACAUAGAGAUCAGGUGCAAGGCCAAGGUUACAGUGGUAGAGAAGUCAUCUGGUUCCAGCAAAUGGAAGCACCAGCACAAACCACUGGUAGCCACCUUCAGCUUUUGGUUUGACUCUAUUCUGGGAAAGGUCACAUUUUAAUGUGUAAAGUUUUUGUAGUAGUUUUAAAACCAAAUACUUCUACAUAAACACUUUGUCCUAAUUAAGUCCACAAAUUAUUAUAUUUAAAACUAUUAAGAUAAUUUAAUAUCCUCUCACCUGGACCACCGAGGUCUUCACUGUUCUUAUUCUCAUUUUCAAUCUCAUUGAGUACUUCUCUCAAAGCUUCCCAUUUUGGGUUACUUUCUAGAACCAAUUCCCUUUUCAGUUCUGAAACAAAGUACAAUUGAACACAGCAGCUUUUACAAGCCAAAAUACUCUUCAGAACUUUAAUGGUUCAAUGUCAUAGCAUGAUAGCUGUUGGCAAGGACAAUAAUCAAUAGCCUACAUACGCAACUUGUUAUACUGAGGGGGCUCAAGAACACUCAUUAAAAUUAUAAACAUUUAAAAAUAGGGAAAAAUGCUUUAAUGAAGCAAAAAGUUAAAGUAUUCACUUGUCCUUCAAUUCUGAAACUCCUGAAUAUGUAUCUGUGCAUUUUAAAUUAAACUAAUGGCAGCUUCUUCUCCCUUCAUAUGAAAUGAAUAAGAUCAAGCUAAAUACUUAUGCAAUUCAAGAACAAUCCCAUACAAGCUCUCCUAGUGAUUAGGUGAGUAAGGUGAGAAGAAUCUUUUAUUUCUUCAUUACUUUCUGUUUUUUAUUACAUAGUUUUUGAGGAAAGAUUAUGCCUUGGUAUCUUACGUAGCUGACUGAAGUCUGGAGCUGUGUAAGACCCAUGUAUUGAACCACAGCACAAGUAAUAAUAUGCAGACUGUUCAAAAUCAUGUGACACUCUCCAAUUUAAAAUUAGGAAUGAUGAGUACCAUUUUCCUUCUUUACAUCUCUGUUUUCAGAGACUUUGCCCUUCUGAUUCAGUUUCUCAUCUGCAGUGCGAUAAACUCUGGCUCGAGCAUUUACAAACAUGGAAGUACUGGAGUCAAGAAACAGCCAACCUAAAGACAAAAGGAAAAUGACAUUUGAACUGUACAUGAUUCAGACCAUUCCAAUACAAGCCCACAUAUCUUAUCUGGAUUACCUGUACAACCUGCACUACCUGCUCACUAAGUAACUACUAGCUAAAUAAAAAGCAGAAAUACGAUACAAAUCUCACACUGUUAAGUAACAGCAGUUAUGUGGGCAGAUGAAAGCAUUAUGUGUCAAUAAAAACCUACGUCCUUAUGGCUAGUUAUAUAAAACCUAAUUAGAUACCUUCGUAUGUUUAGGAAUGUUGAUUAAAAGAAUCAGCAUCUCAGUAUUUCAUGCAUUAACUUACCUGAAUUCUCACCAAAAGCUUUUUCACUUGCUUUCAGCGACUCCAGAAGAUUAAGGAAAGUGACACAAUCAUACUGAGUUAGAUACUGUAGCAAAGUACGCAGUAUCUUCAAAUCCUGGACCAAAGAUUUUGUCUUAGCUCCGAGUUGAUGCCAGAGAGGAUCUAAAUAGUGACGUAUUGUCUAGAAAUAUAAAUUGGAAAGUUCAAGAUGUCAAAUAUCUACUAUACUAAUCAAGAUAGGAAUGCCUUAAAAAAAAAACAACCACACGUAAUAUAGAUUUUUUAACAAAUUCAGGAAUUCAAAAAUUCAAAAAACUUAGGCAAAGUAACAGUUAGCAGCUAUAUAUAAUUUAAUGUGUUCGGUACAUAUUUUCUUUCCCAUAUUAAAAAAUUGGUAAUAUAAAUAUUAAUUUAAUAUAUAUGUGCUCAUAUAUAUAUAUAUGAAUUUAAUAUUCAAUAUACAUAUAUAUAAAUAUAUAUGUCACUGGCCUCUGCCUUUCAUAUUUAAGACUGUUUAUUUAGGUAAAGUAGAAAACAUUGUAAUGUCAUUUAAUUUUUAACAUAAGAUGAAUACAGUGCAGAAAUGCCUCCAGAUUUUCUAAAGUACAGAACAUUUCGUGUCAAGACUAGAUUACAGUUAAUGAGCAAAUGUUGAAAUUUAUGAUUUUACCCUACAGAAAGUAUACAUAAGUAUGCCAGUCAUAUUGCAGACCUUCCAGUAACACCACCACACACACAGUUAAUUCACAUAUAUGAUGGUUAAAAAUACAACAGCUGCACGCACGUGGAUGUUAUCUAUUAUAUACCAUGCUUCAUCUACUAGAGAAAAUAGAAAAUGCAGGUAGGAAAUUCAAGAGAAAAACUGGGCAGGGAAGGAAGGUGAGAAUGCAGCAUACCUAUGUCUAUUAUUAUACUGUGAAUCAGAAUGUUUUUGAUGUAGGAACCUGCGAAGUGAAGUAAGAACAAUCAUGCCAAUUCACCAAGAAUCCUACUGGCAAACUGUAACAUCACCUCCUGGUAAUUUAAUUAUUUCACAAACAAUAUUUUUGUUUGCACACCAAACUGUUUGAAGAUCUACAUUCCUUUACAAAGGGAUCCCUUUACAAGACAUAGCAAAACAAUCAAAAUGAUUACCUUGUCAAAAGCUUUACCAAGAGCAUUUUCUAAAGAUAGAUCUUCUACUUCAAGAGCUGGAUUAUAACGUUUCAGUUCUCUCAGACACGCAUUCAAAAUGUCCAGGAUUGAAGUCUGGAUAGCAAGCAUACUAGGAGUCAUUGACACGUGUAUUUCCACCACUUCAGGUUUAUGCUUCUCUAAAAAUGAGUUCACUGCUAUAUGAAAUCUACAAGGAAAACAGCUUAUUAAGAUUUACGAAUAUUUUGCUUGACACCAUAAUUCAAAAAGUUCAUACAAACUAAAGUUACAAGUGAUUUAAAUGUAAACAAGUAGGCUAAAUGCAAAUCGUAACCCUUUCGACAGAGACAAAGACUGCAGUCUGAUGAAUGGUCUCAUAAAACCACCUGAUGAUUCCCUGACUACAACUGUUUUCAUCCUCAUCAUAUGAGCCUAUAGCACUGGUGACUGAUCCCUGGAGAACUACUGCACUAGAUUUCACAUUGUUAUUGCAGGUAACAAAUCCUGAAGUAAAAACAAAAGAUCUCAUAAAGAGGAGACUGUAAUGGGCUCAUAAACGCUUUGAAAUCACAUGGAUCCACUGGCAAAUACUGUGAUAUCCUUAGCUUUGAAUAAUACGCAGCAGGUCCCUGGCUAUAGGGGCUGUGUUGUAACAAUGAGGCUAUUGCUACAUGGGUGCUAGCUGAUUUUGACUAACAGAAGACAACAGAGAAGAACACUACCAACCUCAGGUCUCUCCAUCGUUCAGAAACUCUAAAUUUUCUUCCUUAGCUUGUGUUCAACCUUUCCUACCCUAGCUGUGUCCAUUUCUAUUUUUUUGUAAUGCUAAAAGGAAAACUUAAAAUUUUGACUUUACAGUGCAGAGCAUGAGUACACGAGAUGGAGUGAAACACAUUCUAGACUGGACAGAAGGAGCAGAUAUGCACACCCCUGGUCCAACGCAAGAGCACCGAAUGGGUGAUCAGCUGAACUGACCAACUCUGUGGCUCUGCACCUGAAAGACUUACUGCAUGCCACAGGCUUGGCAACCUAGUUUCUAACAGUUAUCAAGAAAUAUUCCUCACAGACUACAUACCCAUAGAGGAAGAUUACAGAAAAACCCAACAACUGAUUAAACACAAACCAAUAAAACACAGACAGAGAUAAUCAUGGAGCUUCUUCACAACUGGAAACAAAUCCUUCCGUGCAUGGUAGAAUUGCAGGACCAUAUCCCUGUUACUUCAUGGCUUCAAGAUGACGUUUAAUAAAUUACACUUUUCUUAAGCUAUUAUAAAUAUCACUAUCUACUAUGAUUUCUACUGGCUAGAAGGACAGUUAUACUGUAAGGUUCUGCCUCUUAUAGAUUUAACUUGAGUCUAUUUUCAAAAACGCCUUGAGAAAUUUAGCAUUUUUAAAAUCACUUCUUUCAAUAAAUGAGCGAAAUCAGCUUGUGAAUACAAAUACAGAAUACAGACUAGCAGUGUGCCUACAUAAAAUUAAUUUUGUUAGGAGUCCAUGGUAGCAAUCAUAAUAAUUUUAAGUUCAGUGUAGUAGAGAGGUAUCUUACCUUGGCCACAGGUAAAGUUUCCUGACAAAAAGGUUUCUCAUCACUCUUUCCACUUGGCAAAAACCAGUGUUAAAUGCAACUGCAUUAUCUGUAAAAGCUUUAAUGAAGCCUUCCUUGUUUUUUUGGCGAUAAAGUCGCAAUAUAAAUGAUUCCUGACAGGACUCAAUGAUUCUGUGUGCUUUGUAUACCAAAACACCUGAGAAAAUAAAUGGUUUUCAAGUUAAAAAGUAGUAAAGAAAGGCUGAAUACUUUAUGUAUUUUUCCCAAGUUUGUCUUACUCUUCUGUUUUUGUUCAAGUACAAUUUCAGCCUUCUAAAAUGACAUCAAACAAGCUUACGGGGGUUCAUAAAAUAGCUUGGGUUAGAAAGGACCUCAGAGAUCAUUGAAAUCCAGCCCCACAGCCAUGGGCAGGGCUGCCCCCUACCAGCUCAGGCUGCCCAGGGCCCAUCCCACCUGGCCUCAAACACCUCCAGGGCUGGGGCAUCCAUAGCUUCUCUGGGCAGCCUGUGCCAGCAGCUCACCACUCUCUGACUGAAAAUUUCCCCAACAUCUAACCUAAAUCUCUCCUCUUUUAGUUUAAAGCUGUUCCCUUUUGUUCUAUCCCUGUUUGCCUGUAUAAAAAGUCAGUCUCUCUCCUGAAACCUAGCAACUCCUCACUUACAUUACCACAGAGCCUCUCAGUUACAGAGCUGGGUUAAUGAUGAUCUUUAGCGAAAAAACCCUGUGCUCGAGUAGCAGGACUCAGUAGCUUCCACAGUGCUUCAUUCUUUAAGCACGACUUGGACUUGGAACUUUUGAAAGGAGGAAGACUGAAUGCAAGAUGUAACACAGUAACACCACAGAGCAAGUUUGAUAUCUGAAUUCUUUUAUUACAGAAGUUCUAUAAUCAUAGACUUGUUGAAUAUGUUUCUUUGAUUAUCAAAAAACUUGAACUAUUCUCAAAGAACUUCUGAAAAUAUUUUUUGUGCUAUUUCCUCCUUCUGAUAUUCAUAUUCACAAUUGUGGACAGAAGGGAUUUUCAACUUAAUGGCUACACCAGCAACUUUAUUCACAGCUAUGAGCAUUGGGAAAAAACUUUUGUACGCAUUUUAGUACAGAGAAAUGAAACAAUAGUUAAACUGCCUUUGGCCUUUGAGGCAAACACGUUAGUUGCCCAAGAAACAAAUUUCUGCUGGUUUUGCACGAUCUCACUUACAGGCAGUAUGUUUCUAAUAGAAACACGUUUCAGCUGAGCUUUUAAUCUCUAAAAGCUGCUGUCACACUGACCUCUGGUGGCACUACGUGGAGUAGGACAACUCUAGGUCAUUUCAGGUCAGGAGGUUUUGGUUUUUUAAGUCUCCAGUGUGUUUCUUCUUUUCAUCCACACAAAACCAAAGUAGGGCGCCUCAAAACUUUACUUUUUUUUUUAACCUAGAAAUAACAGAACUGAGUAUGGUGUCCUUUGGCUGCAGCAUGAAAACUGUUUAAAAUGUUGCACAGAUUAGAACUUCUCAUAUACUGACUAAAAUGAAAGAGAGUUUCUGAAGCAAAAACUUACAUACAUCUGAGCAUUCAAUAUUCAGUUGUAUUCAGCCAUUAUUAUGACGCUAAUAUUUAUAUAACACUAAAAUAUUCUUAUAUCCCUGGCUCUUAAUAUCUGAUUUACUGGCUCUGUGGGCUUUAAGAGGGCUUCUGCCUUAGACAAGAAUAUAAAAGCAAGCAGGGAAAGAGGGGGAACAGAACAUGGGAGAACAAGCAUGCACAAGUUCUAUACAACAACAAAAGGUCACAAGGUAUUUCCCAACUCUUUAGAACACUGUUAUUUCAUAACAGAAAGCAUCUAAAGUGUUACAAGGGGAAGAUUAGUUAGGCAUUGUUAUUUUAUUUGAUGGGAAAAGUUGUCAUGAGGAAUUCAUUAAUGCAAAAAACCGCAUGCUUAUCAACCGUACACACUGGCAAUCGGUUUCGAUCACAGGCUGUGUUCUAAGAGUAUUCUGGAUGCUACUUCACCAGGCACAGACGAUUUUUCUACUUGGGAAGCAAUGCAGUCAAUGUGAAGACGUUUCUUACGCCAAUGGCAAUUUCACUGGUGAUUGUUUUCCAAGUGGUUACUGAUAUCAAAAUCCCUACAGAUGCAUUACCCACUAUCUAAAAAGAAUGUGGGUGUUGUGUCAUUAAACAAAGCAAAUGAGUGCAACCUAUUGCAGGGACCUGCUUUAGCAGGAGGUUGGACUCAGUGAUCUCUUGAAGUCCCUUCCAACCCCUGUGAUUCUGUGAUGACGACUAAAAGAAAAAAGGAAGUGCAUAUUUGCACCUUUCACCAAAGUCUUAUUAAAGAAAUAAUUCUUUAGCCUCAACACCAUGAGUAGAACUCCACACAGAGUUAAGCUUUAUGUAUUUUUAAACAGAACAGCCAUCCGUUUCCUUCAUUAAGCUCUUACCAGUGAUGAGGUUUGCAGGGAUUCUGUCGGUGAGGAAAUCAACCACGAGGAUUCUGCUAGUUGCAAAGAGAACCCCCCCCUGCGUGUAGAACUCAUAGCGGGUGUUGCUGGGGAUCUCAUUGGUGACACGCCGAGGAAGGUGCACAACUCCAUCCGACCGCAGCUGGUCAAUAAAAUACUCCUGCAGCAGGCACAGUGAGAACACAGACCUUCGUUAUGGAUCUCAAGAGAAUCUUAAUUAUGCAUGUUCCGCUUAUUUAGAAAAACGGCCCCAAACCAAUUGAAAACAUGGCAGCGUGAGACGCUACCCAAAGAAAGUUAGGACUUCUUUUCUUGUCGGUACAGCUGGGUAAGCACCAGCCUUGUUCGGGUGGCUCAAAGCCCCGCACAUUGUCAAUAGCAGACACACAGGACUUAAGUGUGACCCACGGCACGUCGGCACUCUGGAAUUCUUAGCAUCCCGUUUUCCCCUGUGUUGUCGUGGCACUUCUAAAGAGAUGAGGCAAUUUUAACACCGACUUACGGACGGAGAAUUGGAAAGGGAGCACCCGCUGCCAAAGGCAGCUACGGCAGGGCAGCCACUGCGUCAAACUUUCCCUCAAAAUCCACGGCCUCUGCCGGGCCCGGCCCGCUCCGCGCCCCGCCGCCUCCUCGCCCCGCCCCGCGGCCCGGCGCCGGGCGCGAAGGGUUCAGCUCACCUCCUCGGCGGGGCUCGUGUUCAGCACCAGCACCAGGCUGGCGGGUUCGCAGUAAAGGCGGAGGAAGCGCAGCAGCAAGCGAUCGAUGCCGAGCCCGCGGGCGCAGACCACCAGCCCGUCCUGAUGGAACAGGUCCAGGAAGAUCUGGCUCUCGUGCUCCAGCAGCGCCGCCAUCGCCGCCCCGCGACUGUUGCAACGGCGCUUGCGCGCGAGCCGAGCGCCCGCGCCCG